rnacentral:rRNA from 1 species
GACGUAGGGCGCGAGCGUUGUCCGGAUUUUUUGGGCGUAAAGAGCUCGUAGGCGGCUCGUUGCGUCGACCGUGAAAACCUACUGCUUAACGGUGGGCUUGCGGUUGAUACGGGCGGGCUGGAGUUCGGUAGGGGAGACUGGAAUUCCUGGUGUAGCGGUGAAAUGCGCAGAUAUCAGGAGGAACACCGGUGGCGAAGGCGGGUCUCUGGGCCGAUACUGACGCUGAGGAGCGAAAGCGUGGGGAGCGAACAGG